rnacentral:rRNA from 1 species
UACGAAGGGGGCUAGCGUUGUUCGGAAUCACUGGGCGUAAAGGGCGCGUAGGCGGCUUUAUAAGUCGGGGGUGAAAGCCUGUGGCUCAACCACAGAAUUGCCUUCGAUACUGUAGAGCUUGAGACCGGAAGAGGUAAGUGGAACUGCGAGUGUAGAGGUGAAAUUCGUAGAUAUUCGCAAGAACACCAGUGGCGAAGGCGGUUAGCUGGGCAGUUGCUGACACUGAGGCGCGACAGCGUGGGGAGCAAACAGG